GGGCCCGUAGCUCAGUUGGUAGAGCAGCUGACUCUUAAUCAGUAGGUCACAGGUUCGAAUCCUGUCGGGCCUGCCA
rnacentral:tRNA from 1 species